rnacentral:rRNA from 1 species
AGCGAACGCUGGCGGCAGGCCUAACACAUGCAAGUCGAACGGAACCUUCGGGAUUAGUGGCGGACGGGGGCGUAACACGGGGGAACAUGCCCUUUGGUUCGGAACCAUUCAGGGAAACUUGAGGUAAUAUCGGAUAUGACCUCCUAGGGAAUGAUUUAUAGCCAUUGGAGCGGCCAGCGUCUGCGUAGCCAGUUGGGGAGGUAACGGCUCACCAAGGCGGCGAUCAGUAGCUGGUCUGAGAGGAUGAUCUGCAACACUGCGACUGGGACACGGCGGGAACUUCGGCGGAAGGGAGCAGUGGUGAUCCAUGCACAACGCGCGAAAGACUGAGGCCGCCGUGCCGUGAGAAUGAUGAAGGUCUUAGGAAUGUAAAAUUCUUUCAGCGGGGACGUUAAGACGGGAACCCAAAGAAGAAGCUCGGGCUACUUUGGU